rnacentral:lncRNA from 1 species
CCUCUUACUGAGAGCAGUAUGAGAAAAAUACGUGACUAGCUUAUCGGUGAGCAUUGAGACCUGGUUGCGGAAGUGACAGGCUUCGUUAUCAGUUUUGCAGAAUUCCACAGUUAGGGGUUGUUCCACAAGCAUUAUUCCUGUAAAUUUCCUCAGCUGAGAGAAGCAAUAAUUUUCAUAAAACUGCAUGUCUAAUUGAUAUC